rnacentral:rRNA from 1 species
GCAUAUCAAUAAGCGGAGGAAAAGAAACCAACAGGGAUUGCCCCAGUAACGGCGAGUGAAGCGGCAACAGCUCAAAUUUGAAAUCUGGCCCCCAGGGCCCGAGUUGUAAUUUGCAGAGGAUGCUUUUGGCGAGGCGCCUUCCGAGUUCCCUGGAACGGGACGCCACAGAGGGUGAGAGCCCCGUCUGGUUGGAUGCCGAGCCUCUGUAAAGCUCCUUCGACGAGUCGAGUAGUUUGGGAAUGCUGCUCUAAAUGGGAGGUAUAUGUCUUCUAAAGCUAAAUAUUGGCCAGAGACCGAUAGCGCACAAGUAGAGUGAUCGAAAGAUGAAAAGCACUUUGAAAAGAGGGUUAAAUAGUACGUGAAAUUGUUGAAAGGGAAGCGCUCAUGACCAGACUUGGGCCCGGUGAAUCAUCCAGCGUUCUCGCUGGUGCACUUCGCCGGGCCCAGGCCAGCAUCAGUUCGCCCCGGGGGACAAAGGCUCUGGGAAUGUGGCUCCUCCGGGAGUGUUAUAGCCCUCUGCGCAAUGCCCUGGGGCGGACUGAGGUCCGCGCAUCUGCAAGGAUGCUGGCGUAAUGGUCAUCAGCGACCCGUCUUGAAACACGGACCAAGGAGUCGUCCUCGUAUGCGAGUGUUCGGGUGUGAAACCCCUACGCGUAAUGAAAGUGAACGCAGGUGAGAGCUUCGGCGCAUCAUCGACCGAUCCUGAUGUUCUCGGAUGGAUUUGAGUAGGAGCAUACGGGGCCGGACCCGAAAGAAGGUGAACUAUGCCUGUAUAGGGUGAAGCCAGAGGAAACUCUGGUGGAGGCUCGCAGCGGUUCUGACGUGCAAAUCGAUCGUCAAAUAUGGGCAUGGGGGCGAAAGACUAAUCGAACCUUCUAGUAGCUGGUUUCCGCCGAAGUU